CCUUUGUUAUUGUUUUUUUUUUUUUUUAUCGUUUCUCUUAUAGCUCUAGUGUUGUUCUUUGUUCUGGUUUUUAAUUUGAAUUUCACAGGAUUGUGUGUUUCGUCGCUAAUUUAUGUUCUGAUUUCUAUGUUUUUCUUUCACAGGUUUCGUCAUUGUUGGUUGUCUGUCUGAGCGUUUCAUUUCAAAGUGACAGCUUCAGUUUAGAGCUUGGAGACAGCACACCAAUUGCAUCUUUCUUGGAUGAUGAGGCUGGAUCGUCAAACCAUGAUGGUUCGCCCCCUACAAAAAAAGGCACGCACAGCACAGCAAAUGUUGAGGCUCAAGCUAUUUUUCUUGCUGAGUAGACUGUCUUUAUUAUGGAUUUUCUUUUGCUGUUUAUUAUUAAACCAUGUUGUUUAUCCCACUGUCGAGAGCUUGGGUUUUAUACAAGGUAUCGCACCACUGCCAUUGCCUAGCAAUUUUUCGAUA